rnacentral:rRNA from 1 species
CUUUCUUGCUGACGAGUGGCGGACGGGUGAGUAAUGCUUGGGAAUCUGGCUUAUGGAGGGGGAUAACGACGGGAAACUGUCGCUAAUACCGCGUAUUAUCGGAAGAUGAAAGUGCGGGACUGAGAGGCCGCAUGCCAUAGGAUGAGCCCAAGUGAGAUUAGGUAGUUGGUGGGGUAAAUGCCUACCAAGCCUGCGAUCUCUAGCUGGUCUGAGAGGAUGACCAGCCACACUGGAACUGAGACACGGUCCAGACUCCUACGGGAGGCAGCAGUGGGGAAUAUUGCGCAAUGGGGGGAACCCUGACGCAGCCAUGCCGCGUGAAUGAAGAAGGCCUUAGGGUUGUAAAGUUCUUUCGGUAUUGAGGAAGGUUGAUGUGUUAAUAGCACAUCAAAUUGACGUUAAAUACAGAAGAAGCACCGGCUAACUCCGUGCCAGCAGCCGCGGUAAUACGGAGGGUGCGAGCGUUAAUCGGAAUAACUGGGCGUAAAGGGCACGCAGGCGGUUAUUUAAGUGAGGUGUGAAAGCCCCGGGCUUAACCUGGGAAUUGCAUUUCAGACUGGGUAACUAGAGUACUUUAGGGAGGGGUAGAAUUCCACGUGUAGCGGUGAAAUGCGUAGAGAUGUGGAGGAAUACCGAAGGCGAAGGCAGCCCCUUGGGAAUGUACUGACGCUCAUGUGCGAAAGCGUGGGGAGCAAACAGGAUUAGAUACCCUGGUAGUCCACGCUGUAAACGCUGUCGAUUUGG